GCAAGUGAUACUGAACUUCAGCGUCCGUGCAGGCUACACUGUAUUCUUAUGAUGCACCUAACUUUAAAUCGUGCAGCGUAGUUUCUUCUGUAGAAAAAAAAACAAUUUAGGAUGUUCGGACAGAUAUUAGACACUGUUCAGUGAGCGCAGAUGAGAUGUUCUUUCUUUUGAAAAUUAUUCCAAAAGCGAAACUUGGCUCUGAUUGUGCGCCUUUUAACACGGUGCGUCGGUGCAACAGCGUCCGAGGUCUAAAAGCAGGUGAGCCACUGACUAACGCACAUUGUGCCAUUUGCCAGUUCCACUGUGCGUGUGACAGCGGCUAACCUGUUUUUGGGAGCACUACCUGAAAAGAAAACGAAAGGAGAAAAAGAGAGCCCUCGUCUGGUCCGAGACGCGACCAGCCACGCCGGACAGUGACCAUGUCCCAUCAUGCACAUCGCUGGGACAGGGCCUGCUCAACACGACUUCCUCCCCAGUGGUCGUCGUGUGUACUGUAGCCUACUUCCUCCUAUAACACACUCUACCUUAUUUUAGGGCCAGCAGCUUUUCUUUUUUUUUUUACAUUGUCCUCCCAUGCUGAUGCAACUUGCUGCCAAGAUCAUUGGUGACGUUCAUUUUCAGUUUCAUGUAGCCUAUAUGUGCUUUUGACAAGAUUGACCAUUCGCAUAAUAACGGUUUCCAAUAUGAGGUCAGGGGCCCCUCCAGGGGUUCUUCAAAAGGUUCUAGGUCCAGCGAAAAACUGAGCUUUACUACAAAGACCCUGAAUUUACAGAAAAUGGAAAUAGAUAAUAAUAAUAAUAAUAAUAAUAAUAUUACCAUAAUGUUUCCACCCCUUUACAUUAGAGCUAUUUAUGAAGAUGUUUCCAAGAAAGGAAAUCAGCUAUAAUAAUAAUAAUGUGUAUGUAUGUGAAAAAUAUCCAUAAAGUUUUUGAAAUAA